rnacentral:rRNA from 1 species
CCUACGGGGGGCUGCAGUGGGGAAUAUUGGACAAUGGGGGCAACCCUGAUCCAGCCAUGCCGCGUGUGUGAAGAAGGCCCUCGGGUUGUAAAGCACUUUCAGUGAGGAAGAACGCCUGGUGGUUAAUACCCAUCAGGAAAGACAUCACUCACAGAAGAAGCACCGGCUAACUCCGUGCCAGCAGCCGCGGUAAUACGGAGGGGGCGAGCGUUAAUCGGAAUUACUGGGCGUAAAGCGCGCGUAGGUGGCUUGAUAAGCCGGUUGUGAAAGCCCCGGGCUCAACCUGGGAACGGCAUCCGGAACUGUCAAGCUAGAGUGCAGGAGAGGAAGGUAGAAUUCCCGGUGUAGCGGUGAAAUGCGUAGAGAUCGGGAGGAAUACCAGUGGCGAAGGCGGCCUUCUGGACUGACACUGACACUGAGGUGCGAAAGCGUGGGUAGCAAACAGGAUUAGAUACCCUGGUAGUC